rnacentral:rRNA from 1 species
UACGUAGGUGACCAGCGUUGUCCGGAUUUACUGGGCGUAAAGAGCGCGCAGGCGGUCGUUCAAGUCGAGUGUGAAAGCCCCCGGCUCAACUGGGGAGGGUCACUCGAUACUGAUCGACUUGAAGGCAGGAGAGGGAAGCGGAAUUCCCGGUGUAGUGGUGAAAUGCGUAGAUAUCAGGAAGAACAUCGGUGGCGAAGGCGCUCUGCUGGACCAUAACUGACACUCAGGGACGAAAGCUAGGGGAGCGAAUGGG